rnacentral:rRNA from 1 species
AAUACGGAAGGUGCAAGCGUUAAUCGGAAUUACUGGGCGUAAAGCGCGCGUAGGUGGUUUGUUAAGUUGGAUGUGAAAGCCCUGGGCUCAACCUAGGAACUGCAUCCAAAACUAACUCACUAGAGUACGAUAGAGGGAGGUAGAAUUCAUAGUGUAGCGGUGGAAUGCGUAGAUAUUAUGAAGAAUACCAGUGGCGAAGGCGGCCUCCUGGAUCUGUACUGACACUGAGGUGCGAAAGCGUGGGUAGCGAACAGGAUUAGAUACCCUGGUAGUCCACGCCGUAAACGAUGACAACUAGCUGUUGGGAGACAAUGUCUUUCAGUGGCGCAGCUAACGUUUUAAGUUGUCCGCCUGGGGAGUACGGCCGCAAGGCUAAAACUCAAAUGAAUUGACGGGGACCCGCACAAGCGGUGGAGCAUGUGGUUUAAUUCGAUGCAACGCGAAAAACCUUACCUACUCUUGACAUACUUGGAAGCUCUUGUAAUGAGAGUGUGCCUUUUGGAACCAAGAUACAGGUGCUGCAUGGCUGUCGUCAGCUCGUGUCGUGAGAUGUUCCGUUAAGUCGGAUAACGAGCGCAACCCUUACCCUUAUUUGCCAGCGAUUCGGUCGGGAACUAUAAGGGGACUGCCGGUGAUAAACCGGAGGAAGGUGAGGACGACGUCAAGUCAUCAUGGCCCUUACGAGUAGGGCUACACACGUGCUACAAUGGGGAAUACAGACGGACGCUAAGCCGCGAGGUGGUGCUAAUCCUAGAAAGUUUCUCGUAGUCCGGAUUGGAGUCUGCAACUCGACUCCAUGAAGUCGGAAUCGCUAGUAAUCGCGGAUCAGCAUGCCGCGGUGAAUACGUUCUCGGGUCUUGUACACACCGCCCGUCACACCAUGGAAGUGGAUUGCACCAGAAGUAGAUAGUCUAACCUUCGGGAGGGCGUUUACCACGGUGUGCUUCAUGACUGG